UACGGAAGGCAGCAGUGGGGAAUAUUGCACAAUGGGCGCAAGCCUGAUGCAGCCAUGCCGCGUGUAUGAAGAAGGCCUUCGGGUUGUAAAGUACUUUCAGUCGUGAGGAAGGUGUUAAGGUUAAUAACCUUAGCAAUUGACGUUAGCGACAGAAGAAGCACCGGCUAACUCCGUGCCAGCAGCCGCGGUAAUACGGAGGGUGCGAGCGUUAAUCGGAAUUACUGGGCGUAAAGGGCACGCAGGCGGUUAAUUAAGUUGGAUGUGAAAUCCCCGGGCUUAACCUGGGAAUGGCAUUCAAGACUGGUUAGCUAGAGUCUUGUAGAGGGGGUAGAAUUCCAUGUGUAGCGGUGAAAUGCGUAGAGAUGUGGAGGAAUACCGGUGGCGAAGGCGGCCCCUGGGACAAGACUGACGCUCAUGUGCGAAAGCGUGGGGAGCAAACAGGAUUAGAUACC
rnacentral:rRNA from 1 species